rnacentral:rRNA from 1 species
GCUGGCGGCAGGCCUAACACAUGCAAGUCGAGCGCCGUAGCAAUACGGAGCGGCAGACGGGAGAGUAACACGUGGGAACGUGCCCUUCAGUUCGGAACAACCCAGGGAAACUUGGGCUAAUACCGGAUACGUCCGUAAGGAGAAAGAUUUAUCGCUGAAGGAUCGGCCCGCGUCUGAUUAGCUAGUUGGUGGGGUAAUGGCCCACCAAGGCGACGAUCAGUAGCUGGUCUGAGAGGAUGAUCAGCCUCACUGGGACUGAGACACGGCCCAGACUCCUACGGGAGGCAGCAGUGGGGAAUAUUGGACAAUGGGCGCAAGCCUGAUCCAGCCAUGCCGCGUGGGUGAUGAAGGCCCUAGGGUUGGAAAGCCCUUUCGGCGGGGAAGAUAAUGACGGUACCCGCAGAAGAAGCCCCGGCUAACUUCGUGCCAGCAGCCGCGGUAAUACGAAGGGGGCUA